UCUACAGCUCGCAUGGGUGUGGGCCGUGGUGGAAGAGCUUGCGGUGACGAUACCGCACCCGAGGUUUAAGGGGUUUUUGUGUUGCAAUGCAUCGUGAUCCGUUUCUGAGAUCAAGGGGACUGGUGGUAGAGCAGGGCGUGUCGAAUUUGCAGGCAAGGGGCGGGGGAUCCGACGAGGAUGCUAUCGGAUUGCUAUUUGCUCGCUAUGUCUACUUUGCUUUAUGAAAAGGAGAGUUUGGAUCGAUGCCAUUGAAAAGCUUCAGAUGGUUCAUUUGGUUGGAAGGAGCAUCUUUACCAGUCAGAGUUGCAGCGUUGGAGGGACUAGUGGGACUUCAACUGGAGAAUGGAGAGGAAGUUUAAUCAUGCAGAUGGAUUGCUGACAAAAAUGAUGUGCAUGGCCGAAGAUCGUUAUGGUUUAUUCUUCCACAUUUGCAUAGAUUAUUAAUUCAUUACUGUUUAUCUUUUGCCAUCCACAUACAUAGAAUAGUGAUUCUUGGGGUGAUACUUACUUGCAAAGCCCUCUUUUAAAUUACCAAGACAGGAUGGAAAAUACGGGUAUAAUACCCAAUUUGGUCCCUUUAUUUUUCUUUCUCUUUUUUUUUUGGUCUCUCUACUCAGAAAUGUGCCACACUAAUCCCUCUACUCUGAAAAAUGACCCAAUUUAGUCUGUUUACCCUUAAUCUCUUCUCAUUUAAUCCUUUUACUCUUGAAAAAUACAAUUAAUAAUUGACCUAUUUUAGAAUAGAAGGGAUUAAGUAGAAUUAUUUUCAAGAAUAGAGGGACUACUCGGGAACAUUUUUGAGUAGAUGGACCAAAAAGAAAUAGAGAAAAACUGAGGAUCAAUUCGGACGAGUACUGCAUAGCUCCAAGAGGUUAGACUGAAACCAGCUGUAAUCAUGUGCUCUUUGGCAUUAUAAUUUGUGCUCUUGGUUUUGAGGACAUCUUUUACAGCCUCAUGCACUGAACUUUCAGGUUAACAUUUAAUUGUGGCAUUUGUCCUGCUAUGUAAAUGGCUAAAUUGUUCAGCACAUGACAGGGACUAUAUAGGAGGGCCUUAAAAUUGCUGAAAGCUCCAGGCUUUGAUUCUGAAGUAAAGAGCAACCAUGUUGAUAGGAGAGAUGUAGUUGCCCUUGCAACAGGAGAAUAUGCAAAAAUCCUAAUUCAACAGAAUAAAGAGGAAGAUAAACUGAGCAGCAAGUUCCACUUUUCUAAAGGAGAAGAUGCAAAGAUCCGAAAUGAACGGUUUGGAAAGGCAAAAGCUGGAUGGUUGAUCUUUGAUGAAGAAGAAUAUGCAAAAUGCCUAAUUGAAGAGACAGAACAAAUGAGCAAAUGGGCCGAAGCCAUUCUCUCUGGCACAAGCUUUGGAGCUUUCUGAACCUUCUCAGACACUGGUUAUAGACGCCCGGAUCAGCGAGUCCUAUGAUCAUUGUCAGUGUAUAUUUCAUUUGGCAACUCUUGAAGUAGUCCUUGUAUGAAUUCACUGCUCAGAAAUGUUGAGAACCUGGUUUUGAAUUUUUCCUGUUAGAAUAAAUGGUGAUGCUUUUGUGCUCUGUCAAUGGCAUCUGAAUAAUUACUCAGUGUUUUCAGUUAUCUCGAACUUGUUUGUGGUACUUGAGAUUUCAA